ACUUACUAUGUAGACCAGGCUGGCCUUGAAUUCACUGAGAUCUGCCUGCCUCUGCUUCCCAAAUGCUGGGA
rnacentral:miRNA from 1 species